GACGAACGCUGGCGGCGUGCCUAAUACAUGCAAGUCGACCUUAGUGGCGACCGGGUGAGUAACACGUGGGUAACCUGACCAUCAGAAGGGGAUAACACUUGGAAACAGGUGCUAAUACCGUAUACUGAUGGAUGGCCCCGCGGUGCAUUAGCUAGUUGGUGGGGUAACGGAUCACAAAGGCAACGAUGCAUAGGCGACCGGGUGGGGUGAUCGGACACAGUGGGACGGAGGUACGGCCCAAACUCCUACGGGAGGCAGCAGUAGGGAAGCUUCGGCAAUGGACGAAAGUCUGACCGAGCAACGCCGCGUGAGUGAAGAAGUUUGUCGGAUCUUAAAACUCUGUUGUUAGAGAAGCGGUAUCUAACCAGAAAGCCACGGCUAACUACGUGCCAGCAGCCGCGGUAAUUC
rnacentral:rRNA from 1 species